GUGCCUAACACAUGCAAGUCGAACGCGACACGGAGCAACUCGUGCCGAGUGGCGGACGGGUGAGGAACACGUGGGUUAUCUACCUUGAGGUGAGGAAUACCGGCGAGAAAUCGCCGACAAUACCGCAUACGUUUGGAAACAAACAAAGCUCGUGGCAACACGGGCGCCCCAAGAUGAGCCUGCGCCCGAUUAGCUUCGUUGGUGGGGUAAAGGCCUACCAAGGCGACAAUCGGUAGCUGGUCUGAGAGGACGAUCAGCCACACUGGGAUUGAGAACGGCCCAG
rnacentral:rRNA from 1 species